rnacentral:rRNA from 1 species
AUUGAACGCUGGCGGCAUGCCUUACACAUGCAAGUCGAACGGCAGCACGGGUGCUUGCACCUGGUGGCGAGUGGCGAACGGGUGAGUAAUACAUCGGAACGUACCUUAUCGUGGGGGAUAACGCAGCGAAAGUUGCGCUAAUACCGCAUACGCCCGGAGGGGGAAAGCGGGGGACCGUAAGGCCUCGCGCGAUUAGAGCGGCCGAUGUCUGAUUAGCUUGUUGGUGAGGUAAAAGCUCACCAAGGCGAUGAUCAGUAGCUGGUCUGAGAGGACGAUCAGCCACACUGGGACUGAGACACGGCCCAGACUCCUACGGGAGGCAGCAGUGGGGAAUUUUGGACAAUGGGGGCAACCCUGAUCCAGCAAUGCCGCGUGAGUGAAGAAGGCCUUCGGGUUGUAAAGCUCUUUUGUCAGGGAAGAAACAGCAGCUCUAACACAGUCUGCGAAUGACGGUACCUGAAGAAUAAGCACCGGCUAACUACGUGCCAGCAGCCGCCGUAA